rnacentral:rRNA from 1 species
CGGAUCGACCUUCGGGGAGCUUGCACAGGUGCUGCAUGGCUGUCGUCAGCUCGUGUCGUGAGAUGUUCGGUUAAGUCCGCUAACGAGCGCAACCCACGUCGUGUGUUACAAGUGUCACACGAGACUGCCGGUCUUAAGCCGGAGGAAGGUGUGGAUGACGUCAAGUCAGCAUGGCCUUUAUGUCCUGGGCUACACACACGCUACAAUGGUCGGUACAAUGGGUCGCGAAGCCGCGAGGCGAAGCCAAUCCACAAAGCCGAUCUCAGUUCGGAUUGUAGGCUGCAACCCGCCUGCAUGAAGCUGGAGUUGCUAGUAACCGCAGGUCAGCUAUACUGCGGUGAAUACGUUCCCGGGCCUUGUACACACCGCCCGUCACGUCAUGGGAGCUGGCAACACCUGAAGCCGGUAUCCUAACCGAAAGGAAGGAGCCGUCGAGGGUGGGGCUGGUGACUGGGACGAAGUCGUAACAAGGUAGGAGUACCGGAAGGUGCGCCU